ensembl:lncRNA
ACAAAACAAAAAAAACACUGAAAAUACAGCAGCUAAACACUCAGUUAACAUCAACCCAUCCCACCUUAACCCCACCCCGUAUAUUGCUAUAAACCGCAAAACCCGAAGGACCUUUACUGCUCUCACACCAAACAUCCCGGCUUCACGUCCAGAUCUGUGCUAGCUCCCACAUCCUGCAAUUCACCCUACAGCAGACAGCAGACAUAUUCAAAUACCAACAAAAGCGUGAAUGAGUCAAUCUGUAUAUAAUAUAAUAAAAUGGUCACGCUCAUCCAGCCGAUUUAAAAUACGAAUAACCCAUAAAAACGUGAAUUAAGCAGGCAGUCAAAAUGGCACAAGGAAAAAAAAAUUGUCACACUCAUCCAGCUGAUUUCAAAUAAAGAUAAAAUUAAAUAAAAGAUAGAAAUAAAUAAAAGGGCGUGAAUCAGGCAAUGCAAUACAAGCAAAAAGGUCACGCUCACCCAGCUGAUUUUCUUAUUUUUUAUUUUCUUCUUAUAAAGGAGAGAAGUUUUAGCGGUCCGUCAAAUAGUUAAGUAACAUGAGUCUGGGAAUAUGAACAGAACAGUGGUAUGCUCACACAGGCGAUCGAAUUUACUACGGACUCACACCCAAAGAGCCUCAGAGAUGGACCGCGACCGCAUCCUCUCGCCGGUCUGGAGAGUGAUGCGCAGCUUCUCAGGGACGAGGAGCGAGGGUCGGAGCCAGGAGGACCCCCUUGUGUUCAGCCCGCUGCUUCAAAACUUCCGCGCUGUGAUCUUCACUGAACCGAAGCUUGUGGCCAUGGUGCUCCAGCUCGCCCUGUUUCCGAGCCUCCCUCCUGAUCAAGUCUUUAAUCUGGUGCUGAUGAUGAAGGGACGCGGUCUCUCGCGCGGGACAGGUUUGGGUGCCCAAGUGCGAUGAGGUCUGUCCAGCUCCGGGGGAGAACUUGAUCACCAAAAACCUCAACGAGAAGUUGGGAGAAAAGCCGACUAACUCUGGCAUUCAGCGACGAAAGGCAUCAUCAUCGCUAUGAUUUGCACAUUCUUCGAAGCCUUCAAUGUGCCGGUGUUCUGGCCCAUCCUCGUCAUGUAUUUCAUCAUGCUCUUCUGCAUCACCAUGAAACGGCAGAUCAAGCACAUGAUCAAGUAUAGAUACCUGCCCUUUAACCUGGGGUUAAAAUGUAUGUGUGUGUGUGUAUAUAUAUAUAUAUAUAUAUAUAUAUAUAUUUUAUGGUUAGCAUGUUUUAUUUAUUUAUUUAUUUUUUUUUUGGACAAUUGCAUUUUUACUGUAUUAAAUUAAUCUUCAUCAAAACAAAUUAAUAGAUUUGUUAAUUCCUGAUUAAAGACAUUGCAUGUUUUAGGGUUUCUUGUGCUGCUGGUUAAGAGAAAACAAGAUGAUUUUAAUAACUAAGUAUACAUUUUUCACUCCAAAUGCUAUUAAAAGGCUGUGUCCCUUCACUGCUCUUUACAUUUAAUUAAUGAAUGAAUUGAGUUGUAUCGAUUAUGAUUUUUUAUCAAUGUCCUUGUUAAAUAGUAAAAAUUGCAUAAUUAUAUAGCCC